rnacentral:rRNA from 1 species
AUUGAACGCUGGCGGCAUGCUUUACACAUGCAAGUCGAACGGCAGCGCGGGCUUCGGCCUGGCGGCGAGUGGCGAACGGGUGAGUAAUACGUCGGAACGUGCCCAGUAGUGGGGGAUAGCUCGGCGAAAGCCGGAUUAAUACCGCAUACGACCUGAGGGUGAAAGCGGGGGAUCUUCGGACCUCGCGCUAUUGGAGCGGCCGAUGGCAGAUUAGCUAGUUGGUGGGGUAAAGGCCUACCAAGGCGACGAUCUGUAGCUGGUCUGAGAGGACGACCAGCCACACUGGGACUGAGACACGGCCCAGACUCCUACGGGAGGCAGCAGUGGGGAAUUUUGGACAAUGGGCGAAAGCCUGAUCCAGCAAUGCCGCGUGUGUGAUGAAGGCCUUCGGGUUGUAAAGCACUUUUGGCGGGAACGAAAAGGACUGUGCCAAUACCACGGUUCGAUGACGGUACCCGCAGAAUAAGCACCGGCUAACUACGUG